GUGGUUGUGCUUGCACAUUUAAUGCUGCCGAGAAGCUACACAUAUUUGGCAUUCGCGGCCGAGCCGCUCACCAUCAUGGAGUUGGAUCACACUAGACCUCAAUGGCAUGCUCUGCCAUGUGGCCUCCUUGAUGCUGGUCGUCGAGCGCUGAUUCGACUAGACUAUCGCGCACAUAUUGAUCACAUUUGAUAAACAAGCUAUGAUCGUUGGAGAGUACCCCUCAGAUAUAUAGGUUAAUUUGACUCGAUUUUGCAGGUGCUUUGAUCUGAAGGAUUGGUUUGUGAUACGUCAUUGAUUCAUCGUUGACACAAAUAUGAAAGCACACUAGAAAGAUAAACAUAGGAGAUCAUAGCUGAAGGGUGGGUUUCCAACGACGGUGGUGUGCUGCCUUUCUUCCAGUGCCGACAAGAUGGCUAGUUUGUCGCCCCGUAACCCUGGUGGUGGGCUCCCAUGACUGCCUCCUGGGUUACCUACCACUUAGCAUUAAUCCAUCAAGGGGCAUGGGCAAUUUCCUUGUUCUAUUUCUUA